rnacentral:rRNA from 1 species
GGUGCAAGCGAAGUAGUCGCAGGGUUGGUAAAUCCGCCCUGCAUGAGACGAAGGCGUGAUGCGGAGCGAAAUGAAGUAGUGAAGCUGCGGCCCCUUCCUGUCGAGAACAGCCGCUAUCGUGUAGCAAGGGCCCGUACCGUAAACCGACACAGGUGGAUGAGGAGAGGAUCCUAAGGCCGGCGGGAGAAGUGUUGUUAAGGAACUCGGCAAAAUGACUCCGUAACUUCGGGAGAAGGAGUGCUGCGCAAGCAGCCGCAGAGAAAUGGCCCAAGCAACUGUUUAGCAAAAACACAGGUCUAUGCGAAACCGAAAGGUGAGGUAUAUGGGCUGACGCCUGCCCGGUGCUGGAAGGUUAAGGGGAGAGCUUAGCGUAAGCGAAGGUUUGAACUUAAGCCCCAGUAAACGGCGGCCGUAACGAUAACGGUCCUAAGGUAGCGAAAUUCCUUGUCGGGUAAGUUCCGACCCGCACGAAAGGCGUAAUGAUUUGGGCACUGUCUCAACAACACACCCGGUGAAAUUGAAAUACCAGUGAAGAUGCUGGUUACCCGCGCCAGGACGGAGAGACCCCAUGGAGCUUUACUCCAGCCUGAUACUGGGAUUCGGUAUUGCAUGUACAGGAUAGGUGGGAGGCUAAGAACUUAUGGCGCCAGCCGUGAGGGAGCCGAUGUUGGGAUACCACCCCUGCAGUACUGGGUUUCUAACCUGCGCCCGUGACCCGGGCGGGGGACAAUGUCAGGCGGGGAGUUUGACUGGGGCGGUCGCCUCCGAAAGGGUAUCGGAGGCGCUCAAAGGUCUCCUCAGGAUGGUUGGAAACCAUCCAGAGAGUGCAAAGGCAGAAGGAGGCUUGACUGCGACACCGACGGGUGGAGCAGGUACGAAAGUAGGACUUAGUGAUCCGGUGGCAUAAAGUGGGACUGCCAUCGCUCAACGGAUAAAAGCUACCCUGGGAUAACAGGCUUAUCACUCCCAGGAGUUCACAUCGACGGAGUGGUUUGGCACCUCGAUGUCGGCUCAUCGCAUCCUGGAGCUGGAGCAGGUUCCAAGGGUUGGGCUGUUCGCCCAUUAAAGCGGUACGCGAGCUGGGUUCAGAACGUCGUGAGACAGUUCGGUCCCUAUCCGGCGCGGGCGCAGGAUAUCUGAGAGGAGCUGUCCUUAGUACGAGAGGACCGGGAUGGACCGUCCGCUGGUGGACCGGUUGUCAUGCCAAUGGCACGGCCGGGUAGCCAAGACGGGAAGGGAUAAACGCUGAAGGCAUCUAAGCGUGAAGCCCCCCUCAAGAUGAGAUAUCCAUACUCGAAAGAGUGAGAGACCCCUUAGAGACGAUGAGGUAGAUAGGGCAGAGAUGGAAGCAUAGCGAUGUGUGGAGUUGACUGUUACUAAUCGGUCGAUAGCUUGUC